rnacentral:sRNA from 1 species
AUCGAACGGUCCUCGACGGCAAAGGCGACAUGAGUGCCAUUGCCCACGGUCGGUGGUUUUCCAUCAAUCGGAACC